rnacentral:rRNA from 1 species
CCUACGGGCGGCAGCAGUGGGGAAUAUUGCGCAAUGGGCGAAAGCCUGACGCAGCGACGCCGCGUGAGGGAUGAAGGUCUUCGGAUCGUAAACCUCUGUCAGCAGGGAAGAACGGUCACUGUGCUAAUCAGCAGGGAAUUGACGGUACCUGCAAAGGAAGCACCGGCUAACUCCGUGCCAGCAGCCUCGGUAAUACGGAGGGUGCGCGCGUUAAUCGGAAUUACUGGGCGUAAAGCGCUCGUAGGCGGUAUGUCAAGUCAAGGGUGAAAUCCCCGCGCUCAACGUGGGUACGGCCUUGGAAACUGGCAAACGUGAGUGUGUGAGAGGAUAGUGGAAUUCCAGGUGUAGGAGUGAAAUCCGUAGAUAUCUGGAGGAACAUCAGUGGCGAAGGCGACUAUCUGGCACAUAACUGACGCUGAGGAGCGAAAGCGUGGGUAGCAAACAGGAUUAGAUACCCCGGUAGUC